rnacentral:rRNA from 1 species
AUACGGAGGACGCGAGCGUUAUCCGGAUUCAUUGGGUUUAAAGGGCGCGCAGGCGGCCGUGCAAGUCAGCGGUGAAAGCCCGGGGCUCAACCCCGGAAGUGCCGUUGAUACUGCAUGGCUGGAAUCCGGUCGAGGCGGGGGGAAUGCGGGGUGUAGGGGGGAAAUCCGUGGAUAUGACACAGAACGCCGAUAGCGGAGGCAGCUCGCCAGGCCUGCAUUGACGCUCGGGCACGAAAGCGUGGGGAUCGAACAGGAUUAGAUACCCUGGUAGUCCACGCCGUAAACGAUGGGCGCUCGUCGUCGGCGGCAGACAGUCGGCGGCCAAGCGAAAGCGAUAAGCGCCCCACCUGGGGAGUACGGUCGCAAGGCUGAAACUCAAAUGAAUUGACGGGG